UCCUACGGGAGGCAGCAGUAGGGAAUAUUGCACAAUGGGCGAAAGCCUGAUGCAGCAACGCCGCGUGCGCGAAGAAGGCCUUCGGGUUGUAAAGCGCUUUUCUGGAGGAAGAGGAAGGACGGUACUCCAGGAAUAAGCACCGGCUAACUCCGUGCCAGCAGCCGCGGUAAUACGGAGGGUGCAAGCGUUAUCCGGAUUCACUGGGUUUAAAGGGUGCGUAGGCGGGCAGGUAAGUCAGUGGUGAAAUCCUGGAGCUUAACUCCAGAACUGCCAUUGAUACUAUCUGUCUUGAAUAUUGUGGAGGUAAGCGGAAUAUGUCAUGUAGCGGUGAAAUGCUUAGAUAUGACAUAGAACACCUAUUGCGAAGGCAGCUUACUACGCAUAUAUUGACGCUGAGGCACGAAAGCGUGGGGAUCAAACAGGAUUAGAUACCCGAGUAGUCCAAGCCG
rnacentral:rRNA from 1 species